GACGAACGCUGGCGGCGUGCCUAAUACAUGCAAGUAGAACGCUGAAGCGAGGAGCUUGCUCUUCUUGGAUGAGUUGCGAACGGGUGAGUAACGCGUAGGUAACCUGCCUUGUAGCGGGGGAUAACUAUUGGAAACGAUAGCUAAUACCGCAUAACAAUGGAUGACACAUGUCAUUUAUUUGAAAGGGGCAAUUUCUCCACUACAAGAUGGACCUGCGUUGUAUUAGCUAGUAGGUGAGGUAAUGGCUCACCUAGGCGACGAUACAUAGCCGACCUGAGAGGGGGAUCAGCCACCCUGGGACUGAGACACGGCCCAGACGCCUUCGGGAGGCAGCAGGAGGGAAUCGUCGGGCAUGGGGGCAACACUGACCGAGCAACGCCGCGUGAGUGAAGAAGGUUUUCGGAUCGUAAAGCUCUGUUGUAAGUCAAGAAAGGGUGUGAGAGUGGAAAGUUCACACUGUGACGGCAGCUUACCAGAAAGGGACGGCUAACUACGUG
rnacentral:rRNA from 1 species